rnacentral:rRNA from 1 species
UACAGAGGGCUCAAGCGUUGUUCGGAUUUAUUGGGCGUAAAGGGUGCGUAGGUGGCGCCGUAAGUCGGGUGUGAAAUUUCGGAGCUUAACUCCGAAACUGCAUUCGAUACUGCGGUGCUUGAGGACUGGAGAGGAGACUGGAAUUCAUGGUGUAGCAGUGAAAUGCGUAGAGAUCAUGAGGAAGACCAGUGGCGAAGGCGGGUCUCUGGACAGUACCUGACGCUGAGACACGAAGGCCAGGGGAGCAAACGGG